AUUGAACGCUGGCGGCAGGCCUAACACAUGCAAGUCGAGCGAGCGGCGGACGGGUGAGUAAUGUAUGGGGAACUGCCUGAUGGCGGGGGAUAACUACUGGAAACGGUAGCUAAUACCGCAUACCAUCAGAUGAACCCAGAUGGGAUUAGCUAGUAGGUGGGGUAAUGGCUCACCUAGGCGACGAUCCCUAGCUGGUCUGAGAGGAUGAUCAGCCACACUGGAACUGAGACACGGUCCAGACUCCUACGGGAGGCAGCAGUGGGGAAUAUUGCACAAUGGGCGCAAGCCUGAUGCAGCCAUGCCGCGUGUGUGAAGAAGGCCUUCGGGUUGUAAAGCACUUUCAGCGGGGAGGCGUUACUCGCAGAAGAAGCACCGGCUAACUCCGUGCCAGCCGCCGCGGUAAUUC
rnacentral:rRNA from 1 species